UACGGAGGAUCCGAGCGUUAUCCGGAUUUAUUGGGUUUAAAGGGUGCGCAGGCGGGAUGUUAAGUCGGCGGUGAAAUUUUGCAGCUCAACUGUAAAAGUGCCUUCGAUACUGGCUUUCUUGAGUGUGGAUGAAGUAGGCGGAAUUUGUGGUGUAGCGGUGAAAUGCUUAGAUAUCACGAGGAACUCCGAUUGCGCAGGCAGCUUACUAAACCACUACUAACGCUCAUGCACGAAGGCGUGGGGAUCAAACAGGAUUAGAUACCCGU
rnacentral:rRNA from 1 species